rnacentral:rRNA from 1 species
CCUCAAGUCUACGCGUACCUCGUCAUUCAGUAACAAGGCGGAAGUAAGGGAGCUUGCUCCCUGAUGUUAGCGGCGGACGGGUGAGUAACACGUGGGUAACCUGCCUGUAAGACUGGGAUAACUCCGGGAAACCGGGGCUAAUACCGGAUGGUUGUUUGAACCGCAUGGUUCAGACAUAAAAGGUGGCUUCGGCUACCACUUACAGAUGGACCCGCGGCGCAUUAGCUAGUUGGUGAGGUAACGGCUCACCAAGGCAACGAUGCGUAGCCGACCUGAGAGGGUGAUCGGCCACACUGGGACUGAGACACGGCCCAGACUCCUACGGGAGGCAGCAGUAGGGAAUCUUCCGCAAUGGACGAAAGUCUGACGGAGCAACGCCGCGUGAGUGAUGAAGGUUUUCGGAUCGUAAAGCUCUGUUGUUAGGGAAGAACAAGUGCCGUUCAAAUAGGGCGGCACCUUGACGGUACCUAACCAGAAAGCCACGGCUAACUACGUGCCAGCAGCCGCGGUAAUACGUAGGUGGCAAGCGUUGUCCGGAAUUAUUGGGCGUAAAGGGCUCGCAGGCGGUUUCUUAAGUCUGAUGUGAAAGCCCCCGGCUCAACCGGGGAGGGUCAUUGGAAACUGGGGAACUUGAGUGCAGAAGAGGAGAGUGGAAUUCCACGUGUAGCGGUGAAAUGCGUAGAGAUGUGGAGGAACACCAGUGGCGAAGGCGACUCUCUGGUCUGUAACUGACGCUGAGAGCGAAAGCGUGGGGAGCGAACAGAUUAGAUACCCUGUUAGUCCACGCCGUAACGAUGAGUGCUGAGUGUUAGGGGGUUUCCGCCCCUUAGUGCUGCAGCUACCGCAUAA